rnacentral:rRNA from 1 species
GACGAACGCUGGCGGCGUGCCUAAUACAUGCAAGUAGGACGCAGUUGCGAACGGGUGAGUAACGCGUAGGUAACUACCUAUUAGAGGGGGAUAACUAUUGGAAACGAUAGCUAAUACCGCAUACUAGUCGAUGGACCUGCGUUGUAUUAGCUAGUAGGUAGGGUAAUGGCCUACCCAGGCAACGAUACAUAGCCCAACUGGGAGGGGGAUCCGGCACACUGGGACUGAGGACACGCCCCAACUCCUACCGGAGGCCAGCGUUAGGAAGCUUUCGCCAUGGGGGGAACCCUUGCCGGGCAACGGCGGGUGAAUGGAGGAGGGUUUCCGAUUGUAAAGCUCUGUUGGUAAGGAAACGGUACUUAACCAGAAAGGGACGGCUAAAUACGUGCCAGCAGCCGCGGUAAUAC